AGAGUUUGAUCCUGGCUCAGGACGAACGCUGGCGGCGUGCUUAACACAUGCAAGUCGAACGGAAAGGCCCUUCGGGGUACUCGAGUGGCGAACGGGUGAGUAACACGUGGGUGAUCUGCCCUGCACUUUGGGAUAAGCCUGGGAAACUGGGUCUAAUACCGAAUAGGACCACGCGCUUCAUGGUGUGUGGUGGAAAGCUUUUGCGGUGUGGGAUGGGCCCGCGGCCUAUCAGCUUGUUGGUGGGGUAAUGGCCUACCAAGGCGACGACGGGUAGCCGGCCUGAGAGGGUGACCGGCCACACUGGGACUGAGAUACGGCCCAGACUCCUACGGGAGGCAGCAGUGGGGAAUAUUGCACAAUGGGCGCAAGCCUGAUGCAGCGACGCCGCGUGAGGGAUGACGGCCUUCGGGUUGUAAACCUCUUUCAGUAGGGACGAAGCGAAAGUGACGGUACCUACAGAAGAAGGACCGGCCAACUACGUGCCAGCAGCCGCGGUAAUACGUAGGGUCCGAGCGUUGUCCGGAAUUACUGGGCGUAAAGAGCUCGUAGGUGGUUUGUCACGUUGUCCGUGAAAACUCACAGCUUAACUGUGGGCGUGCGGGCGAUACGGGCAGACUGGAGUACUGUAGGGGAGACUGGAAUUCCUGGUGUAGCGGUGGAAUGCGCAGAUAUCAGGAGGAACACCGGUGGCGAAGGCGGGUCUCUGGGCAGUAACUGACGCUGAGGAGCGAAAGCGUGGGGAGCGAACAGGAUUAGAUACCCUGGUAGUCC
rnacentral:rRNA from 1 species